CAGCAUUUUAGUUUGCUUGCAACUGAAGAUGGCGACCGGCGCACGGGUGAGUAACACGUAUCCCAUCUGCCGAUAACUCCGGAAUAGCCUUUCGAAAGAAAGAUCAUUACCGGAUAGUAUACGAAUAUCGCAUGAUAUUUUUAUUAAAGAAUUUCGGUUAUCGAUGGGGAUGCGUUCCAUUAGUUUGUUGGCGGGGUAACGGCCCACCAAGACUACGAUGGAUAGGGGUUCUGAGAGGAAGGUCCCCCACAUUGGAACUGAGACGCGGUCCAAACUCCUACGGGAGGCAGCAGUGAGGAAUAUUGGUCAAUGGGCGCAGGCCUGAACCAGCCAAGUAGCGUGAAGGAUGACUGCCCUAUGGGUUGUAAACUUCUUUUAUAAAGGAAUAAAGUCGGGUAUGUAUACCCGUUUGCAUGUACUUUAUGAAUAAGGAUCGGCUAACUCCGUGCCAGCAGCCGCGGUAAUACGGAGGAUCCGAGCGUUAUCCGGAUUUAUUGGGUUUAAAGGGAGCGUAGGUGGAUAUAUAAGUCAGUUGUGAAAGUUUGCGGCUCAACCGUAAAAUUGCAGUUGAUACUGUAUGUCUUGAGUGUACAAGAGGUGGGCGGAAUUCGUGGUGUAGCGGUGAAAUGCUUAGAUAUCACGAAGAACUCCGAUUG
rnacentral:rRNA from 1 species